rnacentral:tRNA from 1 species
GCCCACGUAGCUCAGUCGGUAGAGCAUUUCCAUGGUAAGGAAAAGGUCACCGGUUCGAUUCCGGUCGUGGGCU